UACAGAGGUCUCAAGCGUUGUUCGGAUUCAUUGGGCGUAAAGGGUGCGUAGGUGGCGCUGUAAGUCGGGUGUGAAAUUUCGGAGCUUAACUCCGAAACUGCAUUCGAUACUGCGGUGCUUGAGGACUGGAGAGGAGACUGGAAUUCAUGGUGUAGCAGUGAAAUGCGUAGAUAUCGUGAGGAAUACCAGAGGCGAAGGCGGCUACCUGGACAAUUGCUGACGCUCAGGCACGAAAGCGUGGGGAGCAAAAGGG
rnacentral:rRNA from 1 species